rnacentral:rRNA from 1 species
AGGAAUAUUGGUCAAUGGGCGCUAGCCUGAACCAGCCAAGUAGCGUGAAGGAUGAAGGCUCUAUGGGUCGUAAACUUCUUUUAUAUAAGAAUAAAGUGCAGUAUGUAUACUGUUUUGUAUGUAUUAUAUGAAUAAGGAUCGGCUAACUCCGUGCCAGCAGCCGCGGUAAUACGGAGGAUCCGAGCGUUAUCCGGAUUUAUUGGGUUUAAAGGGAGCGUAGGUGGACUGGUAAGUCAGUUGUGAAAGUUUGCGGCUCAACCGUAAAAUUGCAGUUGAUACUGUCAGUCUUGAGUACAGUAGAGGUGGGCGGAAUUCGUGGUGUAGCGGUGAAAUGCUUAGAUAUCACGAAGAACUCCGAUUGCGAAGGCAGCUCACUGGACUGCAACUGACACUGAUGCUCGAAAGUGUGGGUAUCAAACAGGAUUAGAUACCCUGGUAGUCCACACAGUAAACGAUGAAUACUCGCUGUUUGCGAUAUACAGUAAGCGGCCAAGCGAAAGCAUUAAGUAUUCCACCUGGGGAGUACGCCGGCAACGGUGAAACUCAAAGGAAUUGACGGGGGCCCGCACAAGCGGAGGAACAUGUGGUUUAAUUCGAUGAUACGCGAGGAACCUUACCCGGGCUUAAAUUGCAGUGGAAUGAUGUGGAAACAUGUCAGUGAGCAAUCACCGCUGUGAAGGUGCUGCAUGGUUGUCGUCAGCUCGUGCCGUGAGGUGUCGGCUUAAGUGCCAUAACGAGCGCAACCCUUAUCUUUAGUUACUAACAGGUUAUGCUGAGGACUCUAGAGAGACUGCCGUCGUAAGAUGUGAGGAAGGUGGGGAUGACGUCAAAUCAGCACGGCCCUUACGUCCGGGGCUACACACGUGUUACAAUGGGGGGUACAGAAGGCAGCUAGCGGGUGACCGUAUGCUAAUCCCAAAAUCCUCUCUCAGUUCGGAUCGAAGUCUGCAACCCGACUUCGUGAAGCUGGAUUCGCUAGUAAUCGCGCAUCAGCCACGGCGCGGUGAAUACGUUCCCG